rnacentral:rRNA from 1 species
CCUACGGGAGGCAGCAGUGAGGAAUAUUGGUCAAUGGACGAGAGUCUGAACCAGCCAAGUAGCGUGAAGGAUGACUGCCCUAUGGGUUGUAAACUUCUUUUAUAUGGGAAUAAAAUGUUCCACGUGUGGGAUUUUGUAUGUACCAUAUGAAUAAGGAUCGGCUAACCCCGUGCCAGCAGCCGCGGUAAUACGGCGGAUCCGAGCGUUAUCCGGAUUUAUUGGGUUUAAAGGGAGCGUAGGUGGAUUGUUAAGUCAGUUGUGAAAGUUUGCGGCUCAACCGUAAAAUUGCAGUUGAAACUGGCAGUCUUGAGUACAGUAGAGGUGGGCGGAAUUCGUGGUGUAGCGGUGAAAUGCUUAGAUAUCACGAAGAACUCCGAUUGCGAAGGCAGUUCACUGGACUGCAACUGACACUGAGGCUCGAAAGUGUGGGUAUCAAACAGGAUUAGAUACCCCGGUAGUC